UACAGAGGUCUCGAGCGUUGUUCGGAUUCAUUGGGCGUAAAGGGCGCGUAGGCGGCCGUUUGCGUCGGAUGUGAAAGCCCGGGGCUCAACCUCGGAACGGCAUUCGAUACGGGACGGCUGGAGACCGGGAGAGGAGAGUGGAAUAGCCAGUGUAGAGGUGAAAUUCGUAGAUAUUGGCUGGAACACCGGUGGCGAAAGCGGCUCUCUGGCCCGGUUCUGACGCUGAGGCGCGAAAGCGUGGGGAGCAAACAGG
rnacentral:rRNA from 1 species